CGAGCGAGCUUGCCUAGAUGAAUUUGGUGCUUGCACCAGAUGAAACUAGAUACAAGCGAGCGGCGGACGGGUGAGUAACACGUGGGUAACCUGCCCAAGAGACUGGGAUAACACCUGGAAACAGAUGCUAAUACCGGAUAACACCACUAGACGCAUGUCUAGAGUUUAAAAGAUGGUUCUGCUAUCACUCUUGGAUGGACCUGCGGUGCAUUAGCUAGUUGGUAAGGUAACGGCUUACCAAGGCAAUGAUGCAUAGCCGAGUUGAGAGACUGAUCGGCCACAUUGGGACUGAGACACGGCCCAAACUCCUACGGGAGGCAGCAGUAGGGAAUCUUCCACAAUGGACGCAAGUCUGAUGGAGCAACGCCGCGUGAGUGAAGAAGGGUUUCGGCUCGUAAAGCUCUGUUGGUAGUGAAGAAAGAUAGAGGUAGUAACUGGCCUUUAUUUGACGGUAAUUACUUAGAAAGUCACGGCUAACUACGUGCCAGCAGCCGCGGUAAUACGUAGGUGGCAAGCGUUGUCCGGAUUUAUUGGGCGUAAAGCGAGUGCAGGCGGUUCAAUAAGUCUGAUGUGAAAGCCUUCGGCUCAACCGGAGAAUUGCAUCAGAAACUGUUGAACUUGAGUGCAGAAGAGGAGAGUGGAACUCCAUGUGUAGCGGUGGAAUGCGUAGAUAUAUGGAAGA
rnacentral:rRNA from 1 species